rnacentral:misc_RNA from 1 species
AAGUCGUAACAAGGUUUCCGUAGGUGAACCUGCGGAAGGAUCAUUAUAAAAUUUUCAUAUAUUAUUUAUUUAAUAUAUAAAAUUAUAUGCAAAAUGUAUUCAAAACCCACACUCUUUAUAACCAUAAAAAAAAUUAUAUUAUUAUUUUUAUAAUAUAAAAAAAAAAACAACUUUCAACAACGGAUCUCUUGGCUCUC